GACGAACGCUGGCGGCGUGCUUAACACAUGCAAGUCGAACGGUAAGGCCCUUCGGGGUACACGAGUGGCGAACGGGUGAGUAACACGUGGGUGAUCUGCCCUGCACUUCGGGAUAAGCCUGGGAAACUGGGUCUAAUACCGGAUAGGACCACUGCCUGCAAGGGUGGUGGUGGAAAGCUUUUGCGGUGGGGGAUGGGCCCGCGGCCUAUCAGUUUGUUGGUGGGGUGAUGGCCUACCAAGGUGACGACGGGUAGCCGGCCUGAGAGGGUGGCCGGCCAUACUGGGACUGAGAUACGGCCCAGACUCCUACGGGAGGCAGCAGUGGGGAAUAUUGCACAAUGGGCGCAAGCCUGAUGCAGCGACGCCGCGUGAGGGAUGACGGCCUUCGGGUUGUAAACCUCUUUCAGCACCGACGAAGCGCAAGUGACGGUAGGUGCAGAAGAAGGACCGGCCAACUACGUGCCAGCCGCCGCGGUAA
rnacentral:rRNA from 1 species